rnacentral:rRNA from 1 species
UGGGGAAUAUUGCACAAUGGGCGAAAGCCUGAUGCAGCGACGCCGCGUGCGGGAUGAAGGCCUUCGGGUUGUAAACCGCUUUUAAUUGGGAGCAAGCGAGAGUGAGUGUACCUUUUGAAUAAGCACCGGCUAACUACGUGCCAGCAGCCGCGGUAAUACGUAGGGUGCAAGCGUUAUCCGGAAUUAUUGGGCGUAAAGAGCUCGUAGGCGGUUUGUCACGCCUGGUGUGAAAGUCCAUCGCUUAACGGUGGAUCUGCGCCGGGUACGGGCAGGCUAGAGUGCAGUAGGGGAGAUUGGAAUUCCCGGUGUAACGGUGGAAUGUGUAGAUAUCGGGAAGAACACCAAUGGCGAAGGCAGAUCUCUGGGCUGUUACUGACGCUGAGGAGCGAAAGCAUGGGGAGCGAACAGGAUUAGAUA